rnacentral:rRNA from 1 species
AUUGAACGCUGGCGGCAUGCCUUACACAUGCAAGUCGAACGGUAACGGGCCUUCGGGUGCCGACGAGUGGCGAACGGGUGAGUAAUGCAUCGGAACGUACCUUUCAGUGGGGGAUAACGUAGCGAAAGUUACGCUAAUACCGCAUAUUCUGUGAGCAGGAAAGCAGGGGAUCGCAAGACCUUGAGCUGAUUGAGCGGCCGAUGUCAGAUUAGGUAGUUGGUGAGGUAAAGGCUCACCAAGGCGACGAUCUGUAGCGGGUCUGAGAGGAUGAUCCGCCACACUGGGACUGAGACACGGCCCAGACUCCUGCGGGAGGGAGCAGUGGGGAAUUUUGGACAAUGGGGGCAACCCUGAUCCAGCCAUGCCGCGUGAGUGAAGAAGGCCUUCGGGUCGUAAAGCUCUUUCGGCCGGGAAGAAAUCGUAUGGGCUAAUACCCUGUGCGGAUGACGGUACCGGCAUAAGAAGCACCGGCUAACUACGUGCCAGCCGCCGCGGUAACAC